rnacentral:rRNA from 1 species
AGAGUUUGAUCCUGGCUCAGAUUGAACGCUGGCGGCAGGCUUAACACAUGCAAGUCGAGCGGGGAAGGGUAGCUUGCUACCUGACCUAGCGGCGGACGGGUGAGUAAUGCUUAGGAAUCUGCCUAUUAGUGGGGGACAACAUUCCGAAAGGAAUGCUAAUACCGCAUACGCCCUACGGGGGAGAGCAGGGGAUCUUCGGACCUUGCGCUAAUAGAUGAGCCUAAGUCAGAUUAGCUAGUUGGUGGGGUAAAGGCCUACCAAGGCGACGAUCUGUAGCGGGUCUGAGAGGAUGAUCCGCCACACUGGGACUGAGACACGGCCCAGACUCCUACGGGAGGCAGCAGUGGGGAAUAUUGGACAAUGGGCGAAAGCCUGAUCCAGCCAUGCCGCGUGUGUGAAGAAGGCCUGUUUGGUUGUAAAGCACUUUAAGCGAGGAGGAGGCUACUUGGAUUAAUACUCUAGGAUAGUGGACGUUACUCGCAGAAUAAGCACCGGCUAACUCUGUGCCAGCAGCCGCGGUAAUACAGAGGGUGCGAGCGUUAAUCGGAUUUACUGGGCGUAAAGCGUGCGUAGGCGGCUUCUUAAGUCGGAUGUGAAAUCCCUGAGCUUAACUUAGGAAUUGCAUUCGAUACUGGGAAGCUAGAGUAUGGGAGAGGAUGGUAGAAUUCCAGGUGUAGCGGUGAAAUGCGUAGAGAUCUGGAGGAAUACCGAUGGCGAAGCAGCCAUCUGGCCUAAUACUGACGCUG